ACCGCGCCGUCACUCAGCGCGCGCGCCCAGCUGAUCAAUGCCUGCGAGGCCCGGCAGUCCCAGGCUCGCCCCGGCCCGGCCGCCGGCCCGCGCGCACCUGCAGCCGCUGCACGUCUUAAGUUUCGAGUGAUUUGGGGAAGGAAGGAGGACCCAGAAGAAAAGAAAAGAGUUGGGGCGGGGCGGGGCGGGGGGGGGGGGGGAGGCCGGGGUGAGGGGAGGAAGAGACGACGAAGGAAAAAUGCCGGGAGAGGGAGAAGAAAGAAAUCUUCCUUUUGCAAAAGGAGGCAUAAUAUGGCUUAGAGGUUGCCAAAGCAAAAGGUUUUGCUUUAUUUUGUUUUUGCAACCGAGGCGUUCGGGGUGGGGCUGGCGCGAGAGAAGGGUGGAUGGGGAGAAGGUCACUGUCUUAGCGCAUGGCGAGAUUGAUUUAUUCCUUUGGAUGAUUUCAGUUUCUCGCCGGAUGGCUUUGAUGCUGGACUCCUAAAAAUACCUUUUUGAAAGACUGAAAGACCCCACCCCCGCCUCCACACCGUCCUACUGCCUAACUCCUCGGAACCCUGGGAGGUUGCGCAUAAACCAUUAAUUUUUUUUUUCCAGAACAGUCCCUAUCUCUGCCCUGGGGGAGCCGGGAAGAUGUGCAGCCCCAGCCCUCGUCCUCAGCGGAGCCUCGCGCGCGCAGAGCCUAGCGCGAUUCGCGCCCUCAUUACCACUACAAAGCGCGGGCCAGACCAAUCCCCUUUCUAAUGCACCAUUUUCGACUGAGAACAUCGAGAGGCCAGAAACUUCCAAGUCAGCUUGCAGACGCAGACGCCUCCUGGGUCCUGGCUUUAAGAACCAGAUGCCAGCAUUCCCGGACAGUUUAUGGCAUCCGGAUCCCUCAAGGGUGCUCAUCUUCAGUUGAGAGUCUAAUAAACGGCAUUAACAAAGCGUUUCAACGACUACCACGGCUUAACAGUGGCUCCUCCCCUGCCCUGCCACCAUUCGGGCCGUAAUUCCUUCCAGGAUUCCCGCACCGUCCUGUGUGCCCAGAGCUCUCUAGAGCACCAGGAUUCUGUGUGAAGAAUACAGAGACAGAUGUUACAUUUCAAAGAAAAAAGGGCGACACGACUUCCCUCUUUAAGGAGAGCGUAAACAUGCACUUUAGGUAAAAGCUAAUCUUUUACACGCCUGUGCACAGCACACCUCUUUUGCUGUUCGCCUUGACCCCAAGAGUUUGGAAAGACUGCCCCCAUUUCAGAGAGGAAGAAACGCAGGCACACAUGAAUGACAGACUUCUCUGUGGUGGCCUAGACUCCAGCCAAUACUUCCGGGACAACCUGCCAUCGUGCAUAGAUGUGUAACCUUGACUCCGGGUGGGGCAUUGAUUACUCUUUUAACCUUGGAAGGUGUUCCAGUCUUGGACGACCGGAUUGCCAAGAGCCAGGAAUCUGUGAAAACAGUUUGUUCUCAUUUUUCUCCUAAGUUAACACUGAGUGACUGAGUUUAACCCUUUGUUAACUAAAGGUCAACUGACAUCUUAGAACUUUUCAAACCUUAGUAUAUGUAAGAAACCCAUGUUUACACCCUGAGUUCUGUGACCACCUGUAUAAAUUCUGAUUCAGUAGGUUUGGUGAGCAGCCCACGAUACAGCGUUUUAAGCAAGCAUGGCGAGGAGAUGCUGAUACCGGUGGCGCAAUGACCACAAUCUGAGAAGCUUCGGACAAGUAAUUGGCCUCUUAAAUGAGCCCUGCAGCAGGCAGACUGCUGGUCACCAUGUAACAAAUGCAGACAUCUCUGAGAUCACCAUGCAGUGAGGAAGUCCAAGCUGGUGGCAUGAAGAGGCCACAUGGAAAGGGCUAAAAAAGGGGCCAGCCUCAGUCAUCCCAGCUAAGCACCUGGCUAGGAGUAAAGGAGGACCCCAUGGAUAUCCAGCCCGCCCGUUGUUUCUUCUUCUCUGGGAGCACCUGCACCCCCCGUUUGCGGCGUGUCCUGGGGCCAGCAAACUGCCAGUGGGAAGGGUGCCCAGGUAACCUGCCCACGUGAGGACGGCCAGGAGAUGGCGGAACCAGAAUCUAAGCCCACUCCCAUCUGACUUCAACGUCUGUGCCCCUGAUGUUUGCACCGAGUCACCUCCUAAGACUUUCUGAAACUGGAUCACAUCCAUUCAUCUCUGAGAGAAAUGCAAGCUUUAAAAAGGGAAAUAUUUCCUAUGGAUAUUUUACAAUAGUUCCAAAACAUGAAAGUUUUAAAUAAAAUAUUCUUAACCGUCCUCACCACAUCUUCAGGUUCCCUUACAGCUACUAUGUUUUGAUGAUUGCCCAUUAGAAAAAUAGACUAUGCUUUCUGUAGGUUUUAAAGGAAUGGUGGUGGAAUAGGGAGCAUUCCUGGAACACGUCCUGCCUGCGGGUACGCCUCUGACCACUGGACCAGGCCAGAAGAGCCCAUGUGUUGGCUGCUUUGGGAUCCCGGCACUGCCAGUGGCAGGUGGGCUAUGACCCAGGGAGAGAACAUAGCCUUUUGCAUUCUGUUGCCCCAUUUGAAAAUGGAGAUGAUAGUGGUGCCACCCUCAGUGUUAUUUUGAGGA